UACGUAGGGGGCAAGCGUUGUCCGGAAUUACUGGGCGUAAAGCGCAUGUAGGCGGAGGGGUGUGUCGAACGUGAAAGGCUGCGGCUCAACCGCAGAGCGCCGUUCGAAACUGCCUUUCUUGAGGGCCGAAGAGGAGAGUGGAAUUCCCGGUGUAGCGGUGAAAUGCGUAGAGAUCGGGAGGAACACCAGUGGCGAAGGCGACUUCCUGGCCUGUUCUUGACGCUGAGGCGCGAAAGCUAGGGGAGCAAACGGG
rnacentral:rRNA from 1 species